UACUUUAGAAGCUGUGGAGCCAGGAAGUGUCUGUUGGCGGGAACUAAUCCUGGUCACAUUACUACACAAAUGUCCCGGUGACUUCACAUCAGUCCUCUGGACUCUGCAAACUUCCAGACGAACCAUUUAUCUCAGUACUUGUAACUUAGGAUUCUCUCCACCGAGGAAAAAUGUUUGGAAGAUCUGGGAGGAAAUGGAGUGACAUUUUUCUAAGUGUCUUCUGUCCAGAGACCGAGAACUUUCUCUUAUACCUCAUAGGACAGUUGACCUGACAACAUGGAGCAGGUAUAGAAGAAGGAGAAAAUUCCCUGAGAACAACUGACCAGGAGAACUGGAAUCAACCAGUUAGAAUGCCUGGAGAAUCCCAGUCUGAUGAGGGAGGUCCUUCCGGGGUGAACAGAACACGGUAGAAGACUCCAUGGUCCCAGGGAGGUACAGUGGGAGGCUGCCCAGCCCCCUCCCUCAGCUCCACUCCCUUUUGAAGCCUAAUCAAUAAGAAUGUCACAGAGGCACUUUUCUAAGAAGGCAAUGAUUCGUGAUUC
rnacentral:lncRNA from 1 species